rfam:Lactobacillus collinoides DSM 20515 = JCM 1123 strain DSM 20515 NODE_65, whole genome shotgun sequence.
AAGUUGAUGUUUGUUCUGCCCAAGACUCAGGUGGCGAAAGCCUUAAUUUACCUGCCGAGGAAGAGUUUCAGGUUUAUCCUGACUUUCUCUCUAUGUCUGGCGGACAUAGGGAUUUUUUAUUCCCAGA